rnacentral:rRNA from 1 species
ACGAAGGGGGCUAGCGUUGUUCGGAAUUACUGGGCGUAAAGAGUUGCGUAGGUGGCAUGGUAAGCGAGUAGUGAAAGCGUUCGGCUCAACCGGAUAUCCAUUACUCGAACUGCCAAGCUAGAGAGUGAGAGAGGUAGCUGGAAUUCCUAGUGUAGGGGUAAUAUCCGUUGAUAUUAGGAGGAACACCGAUGGCGUAAGCAGGCUACUGGCUCAUUUCUGACACUCAGGCACGAAAGCGUGGGGAGCAAAUGGGA